rnacentral:rRNA from 1 species
AGGCUGCAGCAAGGAAUAUUGUGCAAUGGGCGAAAGCCUGACACAGCGACGCCGCGUGGGGGAUGAAGGCCUUCGGGUCGUAAACCCCUUUUCUCAGGGAAGAAUAAUGACGGUACCUGAGGAAUAAGUCUCGGCUAACUACGUGCCAGCAGCCGCGGUAAUACGUAGGAGGCAAGCGUUAUCCGGAUUUAUUGGGCGUAAAGCGCGUGUAGGCGGCUCUUCAAGUCGGAUGUAAAAUCUCCUAGCUCAACUAGGAGGGACCAUUCGAUACUGCUAGGCUAGAGUUCAGCAGGGGGAGGUGGAAUUCCCGGUGUAGUGGUGAAAUGCGUAGAUAUCGGGAGGAACACCAGUGGCGAAGGCGACCUCCUGGGCUGCAACUGACGCUGAGACGCGAAAGCGUGGGGAGCGAACAGGAUUAGAUACCCUAGUAGUC